rnacentral:rRNA from 1 species
AUUGAACGCUGGCGGCAGGCCUAACACAUGCAAGUCGAACGGUAACAGGAAGUAGCUUGCUACUUUGCUGACGAGUGGCGGACGGGUGAGUAAUGUCUGGGGAUCUGCCUGAUGGAGGGGGAUAACUACUGGAAACGGUAGCUAAUACCGCAUAAUGUCGCAAGACCAAAGCGAGGGACUUUCGGGCCUCGCACCAUCAGAUGAACCCAGAUGGGAUUAGCUAGUAGGUAGGGUAAUGGCUUACCUAGGCGACGAUCCCUAGCUGGUCUGAGAGGAUGACCAGCCACACUGGAACUGAGACACGGUCCAGACUCCUACGGGAGGCAGCAGUGGGGAAUAUUGCACAAUGGGCGCAAGCCUGAUGCAGCCAUGCCGCGUGUAUGAAGAAGGCCUUCGGGUUGUAAAGUACUUUCAGUCAGGAGGAAGGGUGUGAAAUUAAUACUUUCAUGCAUUGGCGUUACUGACAGAAGAAGCACCGGCUAACUCCGUGCCAGCCGCCGCCGUAA